GACGAACGCUGGCGGCGUGCUUAACACAUGCAAGUCGAACGGAAAGGCCCUGCUUUUGUGGGGUGCUCGAGUGGCGAACGGGUGAGUAACACGUUAGUAACCUGCCCUUUACUUUGGGAUAACUUCAGGAAACUGGGGCUAAUACCGGAUAGGAGCUCCUGCUGCAUGGUGGGGGUUGGAAAGUUUCGGCGGUUGGGGAUGGACUCGCGGCUUAUCAGCUUGUUGGUGGGGUAGUGGCUUACCAAGGCUUUGACGGGUAGCCGGCCUGAGAGGGUGACCGGCCACAUUGGGACUGAGAUACGGCCCAGACUCCUACGGGAGGCAGCAGGGGGGAAUAUUGCACAAUGGGCGGAAGCCUGAUGCAGCAACGCCGCGUGCGGGAUGACGGCCUUCGGGUUGUAAACCGCUUUCGCCUGUGACGAAGCGUGAGUGACGGUAAUGGGUAAAGAAGCACCGGCUAACUACGUG
rnacentral:rRNA from 1 species